rnacentral:tRNA from 1 species
CUUUUAAAGGAAACGAGUCUUCUACUGGUCUUAGGAGUUA